rnacentral:rRNA from 1 species
AGAGAUGUGUGAUGACGCAUAUCAAUAAGCGGAGGAAAAAGAAACUAACUAGGAUUCCCUCAGUAACGGCGAGUGAAGCGGGAAGAGCUCAAAUUUGAAAUCUUCAAGGUUCUACCUUGACGAAUUGUAGUUUAUAGAAGUGUUUUCUGUUAGUGGAGUGGCAAAAGUUCUUUGGAAUAGGACAUCAUAGAGGGUGAGAAUCCCGUAUUUGGUCAUUCCUCCUAGCGUUGUGAUACACUUUCAACGAGUCGGAUUGUUUGGGAAUGCAGUCCAAAAUGGGUGGUAAAUUUCAUCUAAAGCUAAAUAUUGGCGAGAGACCGAUAGCGAACAAGUACCGUGAGGGAAAGAUGAAAAGAACUUUGAAAAGAGAGUUAAACAGUACGUGAAAUUGUCAAAAGGGAAGCGUUUGACACCAGUGUUGUUUUUCCGAAAAUCAAUUACGAAUGUUUUGUUUUUGAGGAGUUAUGACUUCAUCGGCUUGCUCCUUUCUUUAUGAAACUUUCUUAAUGCACUUUUCGGUUAACAAGUCAACAUCAAUUUCUUUUGUUGUAAAAGGGUAUGAGGAAGGUGGCUUUCUUUUCGGAGAAAGUGUUUAUAGCCUUGUGCCUCUGCAAUCGGAGAGAUUGAGGUCUGCAGCGUAGAUCCUUCGGGGUUAGAUACGUUUGUGCUAAGUUAUAGCUUUUCAUAGACAACUUGUUGACUAUGUUUAGUCUUGUAGCUUACUCGCUUAUGCUAUUUUACCUACGCUUAGGAUGUUGAGUAGCGACAUACGCAC